CCUCCCCAGGCCCACUAGCCUUGGUGUGGCACCAAAAAAGAGGAAAAAUGGAUGAUUGAGGCAUUCCGUUUGGGCCCGAGCCCAAACCAUAUCCACAACACGCUGAACUUAAGGAACGUAUAAGCUGAAUCUAAAUGGAAGAAGCACUUCCGAAAAAUAAUCCAGAAUCAAUAACGCUUCCACUUCAGUGUCGAAUACACAACGCCGUACCUCUUCACUUCAACGCGACAUGUGUUUGUUCCUCAUUAUCCAAUUCGACACUUCAUACUUUCUCUUACAAAAUCAACAAUCGCCAUCGAAAUCCAAGAUACCGGAUUGCAACGACGACACAUAAACGAGCUAAUCGCCGAUCAAGAAAAGGGAGAACUUACCGAUUCCGACGCGGCCUGCAAGAGCGGAUAUGAAUCCCGUGUGCUUUAAUUCAUACUCGCGAGGGUGGGCAUGGACUCAUCAAUUGUGGGAUUUUGGUAAUAAGACCAAUGAUCAUGAAGAACAAGGCUAUGGAUUCACUUGGGAAUAAAGAAAAUGUUGUAACUAGGAUUACUAGGAGAGUUGACUUUGGUCAACUGAUUGACCAAAAAGUCAAUAAAUAACCAAAGCCAACUGUUGGUCAAAGUUGUAUGUUUUCUUUUAGGUUUUGAUUUGUGUACUUAUGUAGUAUUUUGUAAUGACUUUGUGAAUGAAAGAUAAGUUUGUGCUAAAUGAAUUUGCUUCAAAUUGCAAUUGCCUUGUGCUAA